rnacentral:rRNA from 1 species
GACGAACGCUGGCGGCGUGCUUAACACAUGCAAGUCGAACGGAAAGGCCCCCAUCUUGGUGGGGGUGCUCGAGUGGCGAACGGGUGAGUAACACGUGGGUGAUCUGCCCUGUACUUCGGGAUAAGCUUGGGAAACUGGGUCUAAUACCGGAUAGGACCAUGGUUUAGUGUCUCAUGGUGGAAAGAUUAUUGUUUUGGUGCAGGAUGAGCUCGCGGCCUAUCAGCUUGUUGGUGGGGUAAUGGCCUACCAAGGCGUCGACGGGUAGCCGGCCUGGGAGGGUGGACGGCCACAUUGGGACUGAGAUACGGCCCAGACUCCUACGGGAGGAAGCAGUGGGGAAUAUGGCACAAUGGGCGCAAGCCUGAUGCAGCGACGCCGCGUGGGGGAUGACGGCCUUCGGGUGGUAAACUCCUUUCGGUAGGGACGAAGCCACGCUUUUGGGGUGUGGUGACGGUACCUUUGUGAAGAAGCACCGGCUAACUACGUG